CCCUUAGAUGUUCUGGGCCGCACGCGUGCUACACUGAGUAAUUCAAUGGGUAAGGGAACGCUAGAGCAUUACCUAAUCUUGAAAUUUGCUCGUGAUGGGGAUCGACGGUUGCAAUUUUCCGUCGUGAACGAGGAAUACCUUGUAGGCGCAUGUCAUCAUCAUGCGCCGAAUACGUCCCUGCCCUUUGUACACACCGCCCGUCGCUCCUACCGGUUGAGUGAUCCGGUGAGGCUCUGGGACCUGGACGGAAAGAGCGUUUCGCUUGUUCUGUUUGGGAAACUUGGUCGAACCUUAUCAUUUAGAGGAAGGAGAAGUCGUAACA
rnacentral:rRNA from 1 species